UGUUUUGUGUUCCAGAAACAGCUGAGGAGCGAUUUCUUCACGUUGGCAUUUUGAAAACGGUGAGCUCUCCGGCCAAUUGGACUCCCCGCCUUUUGAUCCACGCGCCACAUUCAGCCAAUGGCAGGAGCCCAGAGCUUGACUGACAGCGAUACCGGAGAGAGCCCGAAAAGAAGUAUUGAUUUUGCCCAUAGCAUUGUCUAUGGAGAGCAAGAGAGGAGAGAGACAGAAGGCGGGGGAGAGAAAUGAAGUAGAAACAACUGGGAAAAGAAUUGCUUUCUACGUAUGUGGUUUUCAGGAGGAAAGGGAGGGGACGACAGAGAGAUACAGUCUUUUGGCACCAGCUGCUGAGAGUCUUCUUUCCACCGCUGUCAGAGUGGCUGUUUAUUUUAAAAUGCUCCCGUGCUGCUACGUUGAUACGUCUUGGCAACCCCGCUCAACCUACUCGCUUCUCAACUCUGAUAAUUAAGAUUCAUGAACCUGCCUCCAUGUCAACUCUUACAGAUGUGAGUCAUAUAUCUGCGUUCACAUCAGCAUCUUUCUUCAUUUAGAUAUUGACUCGUAUAGUGCUCUCACAUUCUGCGAUCUAUAGCCCUGUGCAGAGUGUAUUAUAUCUCUAUUUCUGCACGGUUUUGUCUGGUCACUUGAGAGCAGCCGUUUGCUCCAUGCUUCAGAGUGAUGGGGACGAGGGGAGCAUCAACAAGGAUUGCGUUAGCCGCAUGGCUUAACAGCAACUGCUAAAGAGCUCCAAAAACUAUGACGGAGGCUUUAAUUACUUUAACUAUACCAGCAGGGAUGCCAGUAAAUCAGAGACGCACUGAUUUGUACAAACAGAAAAAAGCUAUUCAAACCAAUCUGGCUAUUUUGAAUCAUGACUGAGACUUGACUGUGAUUAACCACAU